GGAAGAGUGUCCGAGUGGCCGAAGGAGCACGCUUGGAAAGUGUGUGUGCAUUAACCGUGUACCGUGGGUUCGAAUCCCACCUCUUCCG
rnacentral:tRNA from 1 species